AUUGAACGCUGGCGGCAGGCCUAACACAUGCAAGUCGAACGAGUGGCGGACGGGUGUGUAAUGUCUGGGAAACUGCCCGAUGGAGGGGGAUAACUACUGGAAACGGUAGCUAAUACCGCAUAACAUCCUGUGGGCCCAUAUGGGAUGAGCUAGGAGGUGGGGAAACGGCUCACCUUGGCGGCGAUCCCUAGCUGGUCCGAGAGGAGGACCAGCCACACUGGAACUGAGACACGGGCCAGACUCCUACGGGAGGCAGCAGUGGGGAAUAUUGCACAAUGGGCGCAAGCCUGAUGCAGCCAUGCCGCGUGUAUGAAGAAGGCCUUCGGGUUGUAAAGUACUUUCAGCGGGGAGGCGUUACUCGCAGAAGAAGCACCGGCUAACUCCGUGCCAGCAGCCGCGGUAAUAC
rnacentral:rRNA from 1 species